GAUCAAAUCAAGCGCGAAAAGGGCGUUUGGUGGAUGCCUUGGCAGUAAGAGGCGAUGAAGGACGUGAUACUCUGCGAUAAGUCCUGGGGAGCUGAGAAUGAGCUUUGAUCCAGGAAUUUCCGAAUGGGGCAACCCACCUGAUACUUUGUUGUUAUUGCCGCAAGGCACUUAACAGCGGGGUAAACCAGGUAUUUGUGGACUGAAUACAUAGGUUUACAAAAGCAAACCCGGGGAACUGAAACAUCUAAGUACCCGGAGGAAAGGAAAUCAACAGAUACUCCCCUAGUAGCGGCGAGCGAACGGGGACCAGCCGAGCCAUGAGCGUGACAAGAAGAUCCUGGAAAGGAUCGCCAGAGUGGGUGACAGCCCCGUAUUGGAAGCGUGAUUGGACGUAUUAAGUAGGGCGGGACACGUGAAAUCCUGUCUGAACAUCGGAGGACCACCUUCGAAGGCUAAGUACUCCUUACUGACCGAUAGCGAACCAGUACCGUGAGGGAAAGGUGAAAAGCACCCCGACGAGGGGAGUGAAACAGUACCUGAAACCGAACGCCUACAAGCAGUUGGAGGGUCCUUUAUUGAGGCCUGACAGCGUACCUUUUGUAUAAUGGGUCAUCGACUUGGUCUCACGAGCAAGCUUAAGCCGUUAGGUGUAGGCGCAGCGAAAGCGAGUCUUAAUAGGGCGCAUGAGUUCGUGGGAUCAGACCCGAAACCGAGUGAUCUAGGCAUGUCCAGGAUGAAGGUUAGGUAACACUAACUGGAGGUCCGAACCCACACCUGUUGAAAAAGGUCGGGAUGAGGUGUGCCUAGGGGUGAAAGGCCAAUCAAACUCGGAAAUAGCUGGUUCUCCGCGAAAUCUAUUUAGGUAGAGCGUCGCACGAAUACCGCCGGGGGUAGAGCACUGGAUGGGUAAUGGGGACCCACAGUCUUACUGAUCCUAACCAAGCUCCGAAUACCGGCGAGUACUAUGCGGCAGACACACGGCGGGUGCUAAGGUCCGUCGUGAAAAGGGAAACAGCCCUGACCUGCAGCUAAGGCCCCCAAUUCGUGGCUAAGUGGGAAAGCAUGUGGGACGACCAAAACAACCAGGAUGUUGGCUUAGAAGCAGCCAUCAUUUAAAGAAAGCGUAACAGCUCACUGGUCUAGACAAGUUGUCCUGCGGCGAAGAUGUAACGGGGCUCAAGCCACGAGCCGAAGCUCAGGAUGCACACCGCAAGGUGCGUGUGGUAGCGGAGCGUUCCGUGAAGCAGUUCCGUGCCUCUUU
rnacentral:rRNA from 1 species